rnacentral:rRNA from 1 species
UUAAAUUGAAGAGUUUGAUCAUGGCUCAGAUUGAACGCUGGCGGCAGGCCUAACACAUGCAAGUCGAACGGUAACAGGAAGCAGCUUGCUGCUUUGCUGACGAGUGGCGGACGGGUGAGUAAUGUCUGGGAAACUGCCCGAUGGAGGGGGAUAACUACUGGAAACGGUAG